UCAAAUUGGAGACGGUUGGCCAGA
rnacentral:siRNA from 1 species